CGGUCCCCUCGCGGCGUAGAGUGAAAGUACCGGUGUGAGGCAGCGAGGCUGCGACGUAAGAGAGAAAGUCCUCAUAUAAAGGCCGUGGGAGGCUGGACGGCGGUAGUGUGGCUACUGGUACCGGUGAUGAUGACUUCGGCAGCAUUCCUCCUCACGAUGGCAGUGACGGCAGCGGCGCUACAACCGGACACGCCCUUGCCGCCUGUCAUUUCUUUCAAGUCUCUUCCCAAAGACCUCAUCACGCACGACCCAUACGCUCACCUCCACACCUUCUCUGAGGACCAUCAUGAUGUGUUGCAGAACAAUAUCCCACACCAGUCUUUCAGUUUGCGUAUUAAGGACGCCUUGCCCUCCAAGUUCAUUAGGUUUCCCAGUACUUCGCACACCGUGACUCCACACCGUCAUGCAUCAUCCUCCUUCAGAAAACCAAGUAUCGGAGUGACACCGGUUGGACCCUCAGUGCCAGCGCCCUCGAACAAACCUACCGUGUUCCUCCACACUGUCGGUGCGGUGGACAAGGUGGGCGCCGCUGCACAUGUGGAACAUAUCACCCAUAACCACUUCCCAAGCCUUGGUUAUGACAUCGAUUCGUACUUUACUGGUUUCCCUGUUUUUGGAUUCUUUGACUUUAAUCCAGACAGGGCCGGUUUGACCACCAGAACCCACCUGCCGCCCUUUCCUCAAUUCCCGGAGGACAUACCUCUCAAAGGCAGCAAAGUCUCCCUCCACGCCCCAUACCACGCCACGCACCACACCUCCAAGGCUAUGGUGACUCAACAAAUUCACCACAAAAGCCGUUCAAAUCCUAAGCAAUUCCGCACCAGAGUGCCAAGACAGGCGAUGUUUUUCCUUGGACCCCCCUCCAUGCCCUCCAAUCCCAAGCCGCGCACUUCUACAAUUCUCUUUUAAUUGUCAUAUUUGUGUCCUCAAAAUGUUGGAUGGCCUUGAUGUAUUUUCGUAUUAGUAAGUUUUCUCUUCGUUUGAGGUUAUUUUUCUUGUACUUUCCAAAAUUAAAGUGUGACGCAAAUGGCCGACGCUGCGUCCCUGUCAAGCUCUCAUAACCUGACUCCUGUUUUAGGUUGUGAAGGAUGCUGACUAUGUGGCGCUACAUGUAUAUUGAUGCUUGUCGGCGACCUCACUGAGACGUCUAGUCAAGAGUGUGCAGCAACCAGCUUGUUGUGAAGUGCGGGAGGACUUCUUGUGUCUCCUGGGAGUCUGGUGUGGUGUGUGCAAUGGUUACAACGUGCAUCCACACGAAGAUAUCCCUCCACGUUCGGCGUAUAAAUACUCCAUCCACCAUCCUGCCAUCCCGUUGUGCGUUCAUACAUACAAACAGUUCCGUGCCAGUGGUUCAGGAGUGCUUCUCG
rnacentral:misc_RNA from 1 species